rnacentral:lncRNA from 10 species
AUGACUGCAGGCCGGCAGGCAGGUUUUCUGGUCCUCGUUUACACAAGGAUGGGGGACACCGCUCUCCUGGCUCCUAAGUCCCUGCUCACUGGGACCUAUGCUUUGACUCGCUCUCACCUUCUCACCAUUCGUAGCCAUCACAGUGCAUGUAGCUCAUUCUCUAUUGUUCUUCAUGUUGUUCUUCCCUCAAACCUUCACUUCCAAGUCUGCAGUUAUGGGGUGAGGGCCGGCUCUUCUUCUUUCCUAGAGCAGACCAUAUUGCUUCCCGAUAAGGUUGGACAAGGGAGUGCUUCCAGGAGUGGGGCUCCUACAUCUGCCUGGUUAUUCCCAGUAUGUUCAUGGUGUGCAUUGAGCGGUGGACCUUUGAGAUCGGAAACUUCCUUGCAGGUUUGUCAGCAGUCCAGCCGAAAGCUGUCCUCAGCCCGGCCAGUCAGGUCUCCAGAGAUUCCCAGGAAACUCCAGCUUUGCUGCUUUGUCCUGCCUCAUUUCAUUAGGCUCUCAUGGAGGUUUUCAAUAUAGGUUUAAGCCCUCAUCCCAUCGUUAGCAGACUCAGGCUGGGUGGGGUUUUGGCUCUACUGCAGCACCCGUCAUUUUGUAAGUGAGGAAAGGGAAGCUGCUGGUCAGAGGUUUGCCAGAGGUCACGAACUGAAGGAACAAAAGCCCGACCCCAGGCCUCAUGAAGUAGCUUGUGCCUCAGCUGACUUUGGCCAGGCAUCAAGCCAAAUUGGUUUUUACUUUUUAUUUAUUUAUUUUUUUGAGACAGAGACUCGCUCUGUCACCCAGGCUGGCGUACAGUGGCGCGAUCUCGGCUCACUGCACCCUCUGCCUCCCUAGUUCAAGCGAUUCUCCUGCCUUAGCCUCCCAAGUAGCUGAGACUAUAGCCAUGCACUACCAUGCCUGGCUAAUUUUUGUAUUUUUGGUAGAGAUGGGGUUUCACCAUGUUGGCCAGGCUGGUCUGGAACUCCUGACCUCGAGUGAUCCACCUGCCUUGGCGUCCCAAAGUGCUGGGAUUAUAGGCAUGAGCCACCGCACCAGCCCAAGCCAAAUUUCUUUUUUUUUUUUUUUUUUUUUUUGAGAUGGAGUCUGGCUCUGUCGCCCAGGCUUGGAGUGCAGUGGCCGGAUCUCAGCUCACUGCAAGCUCCGCCUCCCGGGUUUACGCCAUUCUCCUGCCUCUGCCUCCCAAAUUUCUAAGAGUUGUAUGUACACAGGGCGAC